UUCAUAACUGAUUUCCAUUUCAGCUUCGCUAUGAGCUCACAUUUGCCAAUGAUAGUGUUCCAGACAGUUUUAUCAUCCACUUGCUGACCUGGAAGAUGCAUCAUUGUCUAUGAUAUCUGCAAUGGAAAUGAUCACGAGGCAAUUUCAGCCUUGCAAAUCUAACGAAGUUGCAAAAAGAUAGAGAGGUCUCAUAUGCCUUUCCUCAUCUUCCCCCACGGGAACAGAAACAGGGCCGGGACGCACAGGGUGGUUUACUUGACUGUACAGCUGCAAAGACAGCUCUGGGACUUUUCUUGACAUGCUGCAAAUUCUGAAAGGGAAUUUCCUCCUGCUUCCAGAAGUCAUGAACUAGACAUGGUUUAAAAGAAAAAGCUAAGGUGUUUGUUGUCUUUGGCAUCUGAUGCGGUGGAGUAUGAUGGCUGAGUGAGCAGGAACUGGCAAACCGGCUGGGAGGUAACAGCUGAGGUUGCCUUAGUCUUUGCUUAUGGAUGGUGCUGGAUUUGAACCAAACACACCAGGAGGUCCUCAAAUGUUAUUUGAAUGGUUGAUUCUCUCAUUAAGUCUUGAGAGUGGCCAGGGCAUGGGGUGUUAGUUCUAACAUCCCUGUUUGCUAAGGAAGAGGGUGAGAUCUCAGGCAGGGAAGUGACUUCCUCACAUCUCCAGACUCAGCCUCCAGAGCCCUGAGCACUGCACCCUGGAUGCUGUGCGGCUCUCACCCUGGAGCAGGUGAGUGAGGCAGACAAAAGACAGAAGCAGAACUUUAGAUGGAGUCCAGACAUGUGUGCCGGGACCUGGUCCUCCUAGGAUUCAAGUUGCUUACAGAGAGUGACAAGAUCCAACAAGCUUCCCAAUUUUGCUAAAAUUCUUCACUGUGAUGGCACAUGUCACUGUCUCUCUGCACAGGUGCUGCUUUUCCCAACCCAAAGGAAACUGGAAUAGAGGAAAAAGCAUCAGAA